AUUGAACGCUGGCGGCAGGCCUAACACAUGCAAGUCGAACGGUAACAGGACGCCGCUUGCUGCUUAGCGGCGGAGUGGCGGGCAGGGGAGUGGAAUCUAUCAAGCUGCCUGAUGGAGGGGGGUAACUACUGGAAAAAGUAGCUAUUACAGCAUAAUGUGGAAACGGGAAAGAGGGGGACCUUCUGGCCCCUUGCCAUCUUGUGUGCGCAGAUGUCGGAUUAGCUUGUUGGUGGGGUAAAGGCUCACCAAGGCGACGAUCCGUAGCUGGUCUGAGAGGAUGACCAGCCACACUGGAACUGAGACACGGUCCAGACUCCUACGGGAGGCAGCAGUGGGGAAUAUUGCACAAUGGGCGCAAGCCUGAUCCAGCCAUGCCGCGUGUAUGAAGAAGGCCUUCGGGUUGUAAAGUACUUUUGGCGGGGAGGAAGAGAGGAAAGUUAAUACCUUGCCUUAUUGACGGUACCCGCAGAAGAAGCACCGGCUAACUCCGUG
rnacentral:rRNA from 1 species